GUGUAUUAGUUUUAAUAAUAUGGAAUUUUUGUAGGAAUUAUGGUUAAAGGGAAGCAUUCAAAACUGAGACCUAGAGCGACAAAUACCUCUGGAAUUAUGUCGUUGCCUACAGGUGCUACUAUGUUUGCUGAUCCAUCCAUUCAACCACAGAUGCAACAAUUCAAUGACGUACCUUUUGAGCCACCUUCUUUGUUGGCGGUAUUUACAGAGCAAGUAGAUAAUGAGACAUCUACUCACAAUUCUUCUAGAUCCACAUCUAUUGAUAUAGAUGCAAGUGUAGAUGGUACAUCCUCAAGGUCAAAAGGUAGGGGGCCUGGUGUGGGAUUACAAACUCCUAUAAAUCCAUCAGAAAGAUUGCAUAUAACUCUUAUUGGAGAUAGCGAGGGGUUACAACUACAAUAACAAGGAUCAUAAAAAAUUGCUUCAACGGUCCAUGGCCAACGUGGAAGAAAGUUCCUAAUGACAUAAAGGAGUUGAUGUUUAACAAAUUUCAGGAAAAUUGUGUUUGGGCUACAAAUCAGGAUGUUUUGGUUUGACGAAUAUGGGGAAAAAAUUUAUUCCGAUUAAUUAAGAGACAUGCUUUCAGAAGAGAGGAACAAAGCAAUGACAGAAGCCAAAAC